CAGAGCCACAACCUCCCGCCCUUGGCAAAUGUCACGACUCACACAAACUCCUCACCAGAUUUCCCUCUUCCGCUGUCAAAUCACAAAUUGAAGAUUCAAAGACGAAACGCUGCGAAUUCUCGAAUCAGUUAUGGUCUUUAGAGACUUGAAAUCGCUGAUCGAAAUACGAUCGGAUGUGAAACAGUCCAUGAGAUCCGAAUCUUUCUCCAUCAUCCACCAAAUCAAGAUAAAAUUGUCAAACAGAAGCUUUUUACUCUCCAAUUAUGUGUUGGCGCUUUCGCUGUCACAGGCGAUACUGAGACAGCCACAAACUCCUUGUCAAAUUUUAUCCGUCAAUUAAUUAAAAUUGCUAGCAAUCUUUACAUGAAUUAUGUGUGCAGAGUUGUUUGUCGCUGAAAUAAGAGGCAUUGCUUCUGCGUGAUGUUAAGUCUACUGGGGAAAAAUCGCUACAAGUUUCGUAUCCGGAAUGGCUAGAUUUUGAUCGCCAUUGACUUGAUAACGGCUUAUUUUCUAUUGCUAUACAGUCGUGUGAAAAGUCCCUAGCAUGUUUUGAAAAGAAUGACAUUGCAGAUACGAAAACAGGUGAGUUCUUCGAAAAUGCUCAGAUUAUUGAAGAGAUAAAGAGGUUCAAGGACCGUGACGUGAAAGUCUGCAGCUUCAGGUUCUGGUAUGUUUCUAUUCUCUUGUUUUUAAUCUUUUUACAUGGAUGCAUAGCAUCUGAUCAGCUAUGAUAAUCAAUCAGGCUUAUGAAAUGCGUACUUCAAUGAUAGCUUGUGUUGUGUUACACACACAAGCAUGCGCGCACAGCUUUGAUCUCUUAGUUUUAUGUUAAUUUUGGAAGCGAAUAUUAUAUAUUUUAUAUGCCACACGUUUGUUUGUAAAGCCUCUUAAUUAAAUUCACAUAGUUAAUGGAAGAUGAGUUGUUAGAUAAAAAUAAAUAGAAGAUAAGUUGUUAAUAUAAUUGGUAGUGUAUGAUUGAAGAUGAAUUGUUGAUAUAAUUUGUGGCGUAAUUGGUAUCAUGAUUUAUGGUAUUUGUCCCCUCAUUCUUACUUAUAAAUAGUGAAUGUAUCCAAACCUUAAAUGCACACCAUAAGAGGGAAACAAAAGAGAAGAAGAGGAGAGUGAGAGAGGAAAAGUAAUCCCAUAAAAUUGUGAGGUAUCUGUAAGGAGAGUAAGUGAGGUGUUUUCUCUUAGUAAUAGAGAGAUUUCAGUUGUUCUUCUAUUGAUAAAGAGAUAUUGUAAUUCCUACAUUACUCAGUAAAAUUCUUCUAUAUUUGUCCAUGGACGUAGCCAAAUUGAGUGAAUUUCGUAAAUUCUUGUGUGUCUUAUUUAUCAUUUUAUCAUAUCCUUUGCCUUUUAU